CCAAUCUGGGAGUUAAAAAAAUAAUAAUAAUAAAGGAAGAAAGAAAAGGUUUAAGUGACUGUCAUCACUGAUCCAUCAUCUCCAUCCAUUACUACGCAUUACAGGAUCACCGGGUACACAAAGGGCUGAUUUCAGAGGUGCUAGUUGGGUAAACACAGAAUUAUUGCCAUUCUGGUAGCUGAACAGUCUCCACCCUGCACCCUUCUAUUACUCCCUUCUGCCAAACCACCGCUCCCCACUGCCAGCACCUCCUCUGGGACCCCUCCAGCCUCUGUUCUUGCCUAGCAGGGGACCUCCAGACCUCUGCUCCAGUUCUAGGACCAGUGGCCAUUCUGAAUGACCAGUGUCUGUGCCGCAGCGGUUAUGAAGUACUUUGGUUAUCACCCCUGGGUGCCUGUCAUGCACAAAAUGCCCUUUACACAAUCACAGAGGAAGCCUAUGAGAGUCAUCUCACCACUUACAUAAAAUGUCGAUUCCACUGGGCUUGGCCAAAAGGCCUGCCUGACACACUAAAGUUUAGAUAGAGUGCACUAGUUGUUGACUACUUUUAAAAUUUGGUGGAUACCAAAGCAAAAAGUUGGAUGCGUUUUUCUUCCCCUCAGAGACAGAAAGUUCUAGACUACACAUCACUACAAAAAGUCACUGGUUCUGGCAUGUUUAAAACAUGAGUGGCUCAUCCAGGGGAUUCUCAGAAAAUACAAAUCCUCUGAUUAAAGUCAUGAUGAAAGCAAAUGGAUAAGUAAUUAUAGGAGCAAGUAGCCAGACUUGUCCCCCAUCGGCUCAGGUUUAAAUCCAAGGUGAAACAUUCUGCUUUCUCACAACUCCUGCUUUUCUCAGGGUGAGCUGGAUGUGAGUGGCUAGGAUCCAAUCUGGCUCAAAAUUUUUUCAGUGCAUAGGACAGGACCAUAGGAUGGGAAUGCAGAAAAGCAAAGCACGACCAAAAUAGAGACUGGGGUUUAAUCAAAGUGCUUUCUAACUCCAUAGUACGGCCAUAUGUUUCAUGGUCUUGGCUUAGUAAAUACUGAGGGAAAAUCAUGUCAUCAACUCCAGUCUUCUCUCAGGUGUGGCAAAGCUCAUAAAUCAGCCCAGAGUUUCAAGUGAAAAGAGCUCUGUGUCUUUGAUGGCUAAUGAUGAAGAGGAAAGUAAAGACUUCACUUGGCCCAGGCAUCCCCCAGCCAGCAUGGUAUGAACUCUCACUUUCCAGUCUUUGAAUGGUUUCCUGUCUCACACAACCUCCUGGAUACUAACAUUCCAAGGCAACUAGUGUGUGUAGUGUAGAUGGGUAAUUUAUAGAAUCUGAAUUUUCCUACAUUAGAUUGUAGUGACAUUGCCACUUCUGUUUUGUUAGUGUAUUUAUCCUACAUUUUGUGAAGGGUCACAAAAUAGCAAAAUAAUAAGUCUUUGACUUUGUUGUUUUCCUCAGACUUGACAAUUUCCUAUAAAAGGGAGAAGAGUCCACUGUUUUAGAAGGUUACUUGCUUGACUGGCGAGGAAAUACGGUGGACAGUGUAUCUCUGGGUUUUAGCAAGACGUUUAAGAAGAUCUCUGAACAGUGUGAUAGCAGAAUGAGGCUGAUACGUAGCCACUCGUAGAAAUCCUGCUGCUUAGUGUCAACCUGGACGGAGGUCUGUGAUGGGAUGCCUCAGGCCUCAUUUAUGUCCUGUGGAGCACGGACUUGGAUAAAAAUGGCAAAGACAUGCUUAUCAAAUCUGUCAGUGGCAUGACAAUGGGAGGCAGAGCAGAAGGUGGGAUGGCAGAAUUAAAACACUCAUGGAAAGCUCUUGACAUUGGGAUGAUGAUGGCUAAGUUAACUCUAACAGGCUGGCGUGCUAAAGGGAUAAAUGUAAGGUCCAGUAAACCAGCAGGAUAAAGCAAAGGAUUGGGAGAUGCGGCUUAACAACCAUAUUCAUGGAGAAGACUCAAGGAUUUUAGUUGACAGGCAAGUGGAUUUAUCGUAAAGCUAAAGAAGCUUAAACUUCAAGGCUCCUCACUGGCAUGGUCCCCUCCCCAAACCCUGUACUUAACUGUGUACUGAUAAUUUUGUUUUCUUUUUCUUAAAGUGAGCCUCUAGUUUAUGUAAAUUACAGCUCUCCUUAAAGCCUGCAUCCCCUCCCCAGUGACAUUUAAAUUAUGGAUGUUGAUGGUCAAAAGUUACUUUUAGACUUACUUAAUAAAAGAUUGUAUUGAAAACUA